GAUGAACGCUGGCGGCGUGCCUAAUACAUGCAAGUCGAGCGAACAGAUGAGGAGCUUGCUCCUCUGACGUUAGCGGCGGACGGGUGAGUAACACGUGGAUAACCUCCCUAUAAGACUGGGAUAACUUCGGGAAACCGGAGCUAAUACCGGAUAAUAUAUUGAACCGCAUGGUUCAAUAGUGAAAGACGGUUUUGCUGUCACUUAUAGAUGGAUCCCCGCCGCAUUAGCUAGUUGGUAAGGUAACGGCUUACCAAGGGAACGAUGCGUAUCCGACCUGAUAGGGUGAUCGGCCACAUGGGAACGGAGACACGCUCCAGACUCCUACGGGAGGCCGCAGUAGGGAAUCUGCCGCAAUGGGCGAGAGCCUGACGGAACAACGCCGCGUGAGUGAUGAAGGUCUUCGGAUCGUAAAACUCUGUUAUUAGGGAAGAACAAAUGUGUAAGUAACUAUGCACUUCUUGACGGUACCUAAUCAGAAAGCCACGGCUAACUACGUG
rnacentral:rRNA from 1 species